rnacentral:lncRNA from 1 species
AUGGAGAGCCACCGCACGGAAACUGAAAUAAAGCUGGCAUCUGGAAAAUCCUCAGAGAAUCCCUAUGCAAUGGACCCUUUUCUGUUCCUGAUGCGACCUUUCUGCCUCAAGAUGAGUCUUUUUCCCUGGCAUCCAACCCAUGUUAUAAUGGAGACCAGCGUCCCAGCAUCUUGCCUUAUGCACAGCAAUAAUAAAUUGAAGUGUGCCAGCUCAAUAGUGAGCAUUGGGAGUUCUGUUCAAGUGGAAAUCAGAGAAGACCUGUCCAUCACUGCUCAAAGAUAGAGGAGGUAGGCCCAACUAGUGUUCACUUCGUGGUUGGAACCCUUCUCUUUGUUUUUUUCGUAACUUUUUAAAUGUUUAUUUAUUUUUGAGAGAGAGAGAGAGUCAGAGCAUGAGCAAGGGAGAGACAGAGAGAGAGGGAGUCACAGAAUCCGAAGCAGGCUCCGGGCUCUGAGCUGUCAGCACAGAGACGGACGUGGGGCUCGAACUUGGGAAUGGCGAGAUCAUAACCUGAGCCAAAGUCAGACCCUUAACCGACUGAGCCACCCCGGCGCCCCGGAACCCUUCUCUUUAGUGGGAGCUUUAUGCCAGUUUAAACUUUUGAAGAUAAAUAUUAAUCCAUGAUAGAAUCUUUUCUCCAUCACACAAGAUUUGCCAGUUGCAUAUUCCUUUAUACAUUCUUCACGGAUAAAGAAAGACUUCAAAAAUGGAUCUUGUAAGUAGCUUAAGAAAAUAAUCCCAACAUUAGAAAAUCGGUAUGCAGGGAAAUCUAUAAUGGGAAAAAUUUGGCAAACAAGCUAAAUGUCCCCAGAUAGAAGAAUGGUCUAGCAAAUUACAGUAUAGCCAUUUGAAAGAAUAUUUUGAAGCCAAUUGAAAUGUUGAUUAUGAGGGAUAGCGACAGAGAGAAUGCAUAUCACAUAACAUUUUUAAAGAACAAUAUAUAAUCAACACCAGAACGGUAGGCCACUUCCUACCCCGAGAAUGACUACAAUGGAAAAGACUGACAGGGAGGGAAAUAGGCACAGCCACUUUAGAAAGCAUUUGGGCAGGUCCUCAAAAGGUUAAACACGGACUUACCACUGACCCAGCAAUUCCACUCCCAGGCUUAUACCUGAGGGAAUUCAAACCAGUCCUUCAAAUACUUGUAUGUGAAUGUUCUUAACAGCACUGUUCACAAUAGCCAAAGGGCGGUGACCACCCAAACGUGCUUCCUUGAUGACCCGCUGAACAAAAGGAGGCAUACCCACGGUUGGGCCUGCAAUGGGAUGUGGUUAGGCCAUAAAAAGGACUGAAGUACUUCUAGCAACCACAGUGUGGAUAAGCCUUGAAAUCAUUAGGCAAAAUGAAAGAAGCCAGUCACAAAAGACCACACGUUGAGUCAAUCCGUGUAUAUGAAAUGUCCAGGAUGGGCACAUCUGGAAGACAUAGAAAAUCUCUAGGGCUAGGAGGAUUGGGCAUGACUGCCAAUGGGAAAGGGGGGUUCUUUGGGGAUGAUGGAAAUGCUUUAAAAUAUAUUGUGCUGGGGGCACCUGGGUGGCUCAGUUGGUUAAGCGUCUGACUCUUGACUUUGGCUCAGGUCAUGAUCCCAUGGGUCGUGGGAUCGAGCCCCACGUCGGGCUCUGCACUGACAGUGCUGAGCCCUGCUUGGAUUCUCUCUCUCCUCUCUGCACCUCCCCUGCUCACUCAUACUCGCUCGUUCUCUCUCUCUCUCUCUCUCUCCCUCAAAAUAAGUAAAUAAACUUAAAAAAAAACUUUAAAAAAUUUAUUGU